CUACGGGAAACAACCGUCCAAACAGGGGGGGUAAGGGAAUUUUUAGAUCCCAGGACAAAGUUACAAAUUUGUAGGCUUUUUCUCUAUUUUGGACCGAAAAAUAGAAAAAGAAAAAAGGCUUCUUGAGGUUGUAGAGAGAAAUAAGGAUAUCUGCAAUUAGGACCGACAGCGCUCCAUUGUUAAAUCUCAAUCAAAGUACGCUCCGUACAAACUAUGUUCCCCCUAUUCAACAUUUUCUAUUCCUUGGUCCCCACAAUCUUUGGAGCGAGGCCAGCAGCAUGGGGUCAUAUAUAAUUGUCGCCUCUCGUAAACCUAGGAACACACUUUAUAAUCCAACCAAUAGGCCAUGACAAUGACGAAAUCCCGAUGCAUGCAGCCCAUUGCGUCCAGUUCAGCCUUUCAGUAUCAGCAAACCUCCUCAGGAAUUCAACCAUAAUUACCUGGAGAAGUAUUGUCAUUCCCACUAUCCCAACAGACAGUCUGUUCUUCAGUAUUCCAUGGAAUAUGUUUUUCUUCUCCAAGUUCCUUGCAUUGAACUCAUUGAAGACUUGACAGAGGACGAAAGUAUUGAAGAUCAAGGUGUUACACCUCGGAAAAUUUUCCGUUCAUGCACAGUGAAUUGACUGACGAAGGGCAUGAUGCAUAUGAUGUUUUGAUAAGUAAGAAAUAAUAUUUAAUGAUUCUAAAUGAGAUUUCAAAGACAUUGGAGGUAGGAGACGAAAGUUGUUAAGGAAAGUAAGGUAUAUGUUGUGUAUCGGGAAAGAAUUUCGAGUAUCGAAUUAAUGAUGGCUUAAUGACAUUUUGGAGAAGAGUUAUAAUGUCCCUUAUAUUGGUAAUAAAGUGUUAAGUAAGUGUCAAGAAGGACCCAUAAGCCAAAUAUGGGCAUAAGCCAUCCAAAAGGGCGAGUUAAGGAAAACAUUUUCGGAUGAUCUGGUUUGUAGGGGCCAAAACGCUAUUAUAAAAUUGGAAUUUGGAAAAAACACCACAGGAUGAAAGUUGUAGAUAAUUGAAAUAGCUUUCUAACCAUAGGUCGUGGGCCCUCACAGCUUAUCGGGAUCAAAAGUUAUGGGCAUUCUACGACAGACUGUCUGAGCAGAGAAGUUCUACGGACCAUUUGACGGUCCGUAGAAAUUUUUGACGAACCGUAAAACAUUUUUACGGUCCGUAAAAUGGACCCAGACCAGCGUAAAGCGGUCAUAGAAACUCAUAUUUUGCUGGGCAAUUUUACGGUCCAUUUUGACGGUCCGUCAAACAGUUUGACGGUCCGUAAAAACUAACGUAGAAUUGCCCGACGGGAUUUUAAGUUCCCUUUUAUAUAAUUUAGUCCACUUCAUUUAGACAUUUCAUCUUACAAAAUCAGACCCAAAAGCUCUCUAAAAACCCUCUCUUCCACUCCAUAAACUAAUCCAAGCCAAAAUCCAAGAGAGAUUAAUUAUUGUUAAGCAAGAAUCAAGAUACCCAUGUGCUAGAGGUCUUGCUAGUAUUAAUAAGCUACAAGAAUUCCUUGGAUAUUGAAGCUAGGGUUUUCUUCAAGUGGAGUAUUGCUAUCCAAAACCCAUUACUACACUAUCAAAGGUAGAAACGUGGGCACUAAAGGAGAACAAGCAAGCAAUAGAAUAGUUAAACGUAAAAGGUAGACAGGGAGACGACGCAGACCUAUAGGAGCUAUCAGCAGAUUUUCAGGAGCACUCCAUUAUUCCGGAGGAUCAAUAGCACUGUUACUUGGUACAAGGCUUGAGCAAGGAGAUUCCUCCACAUCACACCAGUUAUCAGAGGUUCAGUUCGUCCAACUGGUUGCUUGUUCAUUAGAUCACUACUGGGUCGCUCAGUUGCCAAAGCUAAGGCCCCCAGAGUAUCCAUUAUGAGAUUCACCCACAGAAGUUGGACUGCUGUCAGUGGUACUUCUCCAGAUGAAGCAGCAGCGACAAAGUUGAUGACAAGGGCAGCAACAUUUACUGUGAGCUGAAACUGAAUGAACUUUUGUAUGUUGUUAUACACGCACCUACCCCACUUCAAGACCGUGACCACUGUAUUGAAAUUGUCGUCCAAGAUAACUAUAUCGGAGCUCUCCUUUGCGACUUCUGUGCCUUGGAUCCCCAUGGAAAGUCCAACAUCUGCUGCUUUUAGUGCAGGAGCGUCAUUUGUUCCAUCGCCUGUUACUGCUACAACGUGGCCUUUCUGCUUCAAGCAUUCAACCAUCAAAAGCUUGUCAAAUGGUGAAGACCUUGCCAUCACUCGUAUUUUUUCAACAAUCUUCAUUCUCUCUUCUUGUGAAUAAUUCCUGAAUGCCGGUCCUUCAAUAACUGCAAUAUUCAUGUCUUCACCUGGUUGGAGUAUUCCACAUUCAAAAGCUAUUGCUUUGGCUGUAAACACAUUGUCCCCAGUAAUCAUUUUGAUGCUAACUGCAGCAGCCCUGCAAGAUUCUACUGCCUCUUUAACACCAGGCCGACAUGGGUCCUUUAGACCCACCAGACCCAGUAAGGUGAAACUCUUCCACUUUUGACAUAAUAAGUGGAGCACAUAGCUAGAAUCAUGUCAGCAGCACCUUUCCAAUGUGCAUGAACUUUUCCCGUAUUCUUUUUUGCCACCAUUACCCCACUUCUUUUCUUUUGUGAAUUGAAAACUUCAACGUGGAGGAUCUGAUACUCUUGCUUUAAUUCAUCAAAGUUGACUAGUAAACUGGUCAUGGCCCAAGAUAGAAUCGCUUUCUCAGUUGGGCCACCAGAGAUCUCUGGAGGACCAGAAGGUGUUGUAUAAACAUCACCAGUAGUAUUCAAGCAAGCAGCCUCUUGUAGCAAUUCAAGAACUUCAGAUAGCUUACGGACCAUUGCAUUAUCAAGCAUCAUUCUUCUCAUAGAAUAUGCCAAGGUUAGCGUGACAGCCAAUGGCAAACCUUCUGGAAUUGCAACCACUAUGAUGGUUACUGCUGCAGCAAUUAUACGAAUCAAGGAAUGCAUUAUAUCAUCUGCCCUGGUUUUGCUUCCUACGAACUCCUUCUGACCACUAUCAUUUUCAGAAUGCUCCGUGAAGUAACGGAUCAUUAAGGUGAUUAGAACAAGAAAAGCCACCAACAGACCAACGUUCCCUAUAUAUUUAGUAAGCUUGUUUAGCCGAUGCUGCAGUGGCGUUUGCUCAUUCUUGUCAUCUGUUACUGUGCACAUCAUCUGACCCCAUGCAUUAUUCUUCCCUACUGAUGUGACAAGCAUGCGUCCAUAUCCGUCCAUUACUUUUGUUCCGCACACCAAAAAUGGGUUUUGUGUCUCGUUGAUUUGAACAUGAUCACUUUCACCUGCAUGGGUAGAUCCAAAUAUAAAUUUAAUGAGUUCAAAGUUCUUAGUUCCUUAGAGUAUAGGUUCAAAACUUAUACUACUGUUUUAGGGUUUUCACAUUUAUGUCUAUUGUUUAUACUGAAAAUGUCUGUCCGUCUAUAUUCACCUGUCAUGCUGGACUCAUCUACUUGCAGCGAGUGGCCAUCCAAAAAGAGUCCAUCUGCUGGUAUCUGAUCGCCAAUUUUGAGGCAGACAACAUCACCAACAACAAUAUCAAAGAUUGAUACUUCCUGUCUACGGCCGUCUCUCACUACCUCGACUUUGAUAUCCUUGCUAUCAUGCGAAAGCUUCAGAAACUGUCUGCUUUGUUUGAAGUUACUGACAGAUGAGACUGCAAGGACAAGAACAACUGCAACGAUGAUACUCCCGCCAUCAUACCAUCCUUCCUUAGGCCCAUGCUGUUUAAUCCCAAAGCCAAGGGAGAAAACGGCACAUACCAGAAGGAUGAUAAUGGUGGUGUCUUUGAAAGCAUCAACCACAAAACUCAAGAAACUCUUGGCUGGUGGUUUGUCAUAAAUGUUGGAACCAAAAGUUUCCUUUCUUUGUUUUAGUUCAUUCUCAUGCAUUGUUAAACCAGCUUUCAGGUCUGAUCCAAGAAUUUCUACGACUCGUCGCGCUCCUCCAAAUUGAAGGAGGCCAUUGAAGUCUCUCUCUCUAACCAACUUGGCAAGUGCUUCUUUGUUGAUGCCAUCAGAGAGUUCUUGCUCAUGAUCAUUGAUGCUU